rnacentral:rRNA from 1 species
AUCUACAGCCAUGUCACCCUGAACAAGCCCGAUCCCAUCUGAUCCGGGAAGCUAAGAAGGGUCGGGCCUGGUUAGUACUUGGAUGACAGACCACCUAGGAAGACCAGGUGUUAUAGGCA